AUCCCGAAUAAAGCUUUCAGACGGUCUCUUCCCACUGAAAAAGCUAACACAGUUGCAACAGAAAUGACUCAUGUAGUUAAGCCUCUAAUGAAUUGGUCAAAAUGGCAUCACUAUUUGUACGUUCGACCCUCAUUCAUUAACCUGGUUCAAUCGCCAAUUCCACUCAUCUCGAAUAACAACGUCCGUCAACAGCCGUUAUUCACAGCAUCACAUUUUGCUUUCACGCAAACUCAUUUUAGUGUCGGGGCCGCCAUUAAAUCGCUUGAAAAUUCACUGUCUUGGGAUCCAUCGGAGAGCGACAGUGAUUCCGAUGGCAUAAGGAGGAAGAUUCGCUGGAAAUUAGAGUUUGUUCUUGAACAAAGACCAUGAAGUUUGGGGCUGAAC
rnacentral:lncRNA from 1 species